rnacentral:rRNA from 1 species
GACGAACGCUGGCGGCGUGCUUAACACAUGCAAGUCGAACGGAAAGGCCUCUUUCGGGGGGUACUCGAGUGGCGAACGGGUGAGUAACACGUGAGUAACCUGCCCUUGACUUUGGGAUAACUUCAGGAAACUGGGGCUAAUACCGGAUAGGAGCUCCUGCUGCAUGGUGGGGGUUGGAAAGUUUCGGCGGUUGGGGAUGGACUCGCGGCUUAUCAGCUUGUUGGUGGGGUAGUGGCUUACCAAGGCUUUGACGGGUAGCCGGCCUGAGAGGGUGACCGGCCACAUUGGGACUGAGAUACGGCCCAGACUCCUACGGGAGGCAGCAGUGGGGAAUAUUGCACAAUGGGUGGAAGCCUGAUGCAGCAACGCCGUGUGCGGGAUGACGGCCUUCGGGUUGUAAACCGCUUUCGCUCAUGAGGAAGCUUUGUGUGACGGUAGUGGGUAAAGAAGCACCGGCUAACUACGUG